rnacentral:rRNA from 1 species
CACGUGAGCAACCUGCCCUUGACUUUGGGAUACCAGCUGGAAACAGCUGCUAAUACCGGAUAUGACCUCAACCCUCAUGGGUUGAGGUGGAAAGCUCCGGCGGUCAGGGAUGGGCUCGCGGCCUAUCAGCUUGUUGGUGAGGUAAUGGCUCACCAAGGCUUCGACGGGUAGCCGGCCUGAGAGGGCGACCGGCCACACUGGGACUGAGAUACGGCCCAGACUCCUACGGGAGGCAGCAGUGGGGAAUAUUGCACAAUGGGCGCAAGCCUGAUGCAGCAACGCCGCGUGCGGGAUGACGGC